rnacentral:rRNA from 1 species
GACGUAGGGCGCGAGCGUUGUCCGGAUUUAUUGGGCGUAAAGAGCUCGUAGGCGGCUUGUCGCGUCGGCUGUGAAAACCCGUGGCUCAACUGCGGGCUUGCAGCCGAUACGGGCAGGCUAGAGUUCGGUAGGGGAGACUGGAAUUCCUGGUGUAGCGGUGAAAUGCGCAGAUAUCAGGAGGAACACCGGUGGCGAAAGCGGCUCUCUGGAACGGUACUGACGCUGAGACGCGAAAGCGUGGGGAGCGAACAGG